rnacentral:rRNA from 1 species
GACGUAGGGCGCGAGCGUUGUCCGGAUUUAUUGGGCGUAAAGAGCUCGUAGGCGGCUUGUCGCGUCGACUGUGAAAACCCGCGGCUCAACUGCGGGCCUGCAGCCGAUACGGGCAGGCUAGAGUUCGGUAGGGGAGACUGGAAUUCCUGGUGUAGCGGUGAAAUGCGCAGAUAUCAGGAGGAACACCGGUGGCGAAGGCGACACGCUGGGUCACACCUGACGCUAAAGCGCGACAGCAUGGGGAGCGAACGGG